rnacentral:rRNA from 1 species
UAAAGAAUACGCCGCGGAGGCGAUGGAAUACGUCGCAGAGGCGAGAUUGUGUCUAGUGAUGUGGGAAGGAGCUGUCGAAGGUGGAGCCGAUAACUGGGGUGAAGUCGUAACAAGGUACC